GAUGAAGAACGUAGCAAAAUGCGAUACUUGGUGUGAAUUGCAGAAUCCCGUGAACCAUCGAGUUUUUGAACGCAAGUUGCGCCCGAAGCCUUUGGCCGAGGGCACGUCUGCCUGGGCGUCACGCAUCGCGUCGCCCCCCACAAAUUCUCCGUCAGGGGAGCUUGUGUUUCGGGGGCGGAUACUGGUCUCCCGUGCUCAUGGCGCGGUUGGCCGAAAUAGGAGUCCCUUCGAUGGACGCACGAACUAGUGGUGGUCGUAAAACCCUCGUCUUUUGUUUCGUGCCGUUAGUCGCGAGGGAAGCUCUUCAAAAACCCCAGCGCGUCGUCUCUUGACGGCGCUUCGACCGCGACCCCAGGUCAGGCGGGACUACCCGCUGAGUUUAAGCAUAUCAAUAAGCGGAGGA
rnacentral:misc_RNA from 1 species